rnacentral:rRNA from 1 species
GACGAACGCGGCGGCGUGCCUAAUACAUGCAAGUAGAACGCUGAAGGAGGAGCUUGCUUCUCUGGAUGAGUUGCGAACGGGUGAGUAACGCGUAGGUAACCUGCCUGGUAGCGGGGGAUAACUAUUGGAAACGAUAGCUAAUACCGCAUAACAGUAGAUGUUGCAUGACAUUUGCUUAAAAGGUGCAAUUGCAUCACUACCAGAUGGACCUGCGUUGUAUUAGCUAGUUGGUGGGGUAACGGCUCACCAAGGCGACGAUACAUAGCCGACCUGAGAGGGUGAUCGGCCACACUGGGACUGAGACACGGCCCAGACUCCUACGGGAGGCAGCAGUAGGGAAUCUUCGGCAAUGGACGAAAGUCUGACCGAGCAACGCCGCGUGAGUGAAGAAGGUUUUCGGAUCGUAAAGCUCUGUUGUAAGAGAAGAACGAGUGUGAGAGUGGAAAGUUCACACUGUGACGGUAUCUACCAGAAAGGAC